rnacentral:rRNA from 1 species
GAGCAACGCCGCGUGAACGAUGAAGUAUUUCGGUAUGUAAAGUUCUUUUAUUGGAGAAGAAAAAAUAGUGGAAAAACUAUCUUGACGAUAUUCAAUGAAUAAGCCCCGGCAAACUAUGUGCCAGCAGCCGCGGUAAUACAUAGGGGGCGAGCGUUAUCCGGAAUUAUUGGGCGUAAAGGGUGCGUAGGCGGUUUGGUAAGUCUAUAGUUUAAUUUCAGUGCUUAACACUGUUCUGCUAUAGAAACUAUCAGACUAGAGUGAGAUAGAGGCAAGUGGAAUUCCAUGUGUAGCGGUAAAAUGCGUAAAUAUAUGGAGGAACACCAGAGGCGUAGGCGGCUUGCUGGGUCUUUACUGACGCUGAGGCACGAAAGCGUGGGGAGCAAACAGGAUUAGAUACCCUGGUAGUCCACGCCGUAAACGAUGAGUACUAAGUGUCGGGGAAACUCGGUACUGAAGUUAACACAUUAAGUACUCCGCCUGAGUAGUACGUACGCAAGUAUGAAACUUAAAGGAAUUGACGGGACUCCGCACAAGCGGUGGAUCAUGUUGUUUAAUUCGAAGAUACACGAAAAACCUUACCAGGUCUUGACAUACUCUGCAAAGCUAUAGCAAUAUAGCGGAGGUUAUCAGGGAUACAGGUGGUGCAUGGUUGUCGUCAGCUCGUGUCGUGAGAUGUUAGGUUAAGUCCUAAAACGAGCGCAACCCUUGUCACUAGUUGCCAGCAUGUUAUGAUGGGCACUUUAGUGAGACUGCCAAUGAAAAAUUGGAGGAAG